AGAUUGAACGCUGGCGGCAUGCCUUACACAUGCAAGUCGAACGGCAGCACGGGGGCAACCCUGGUGGCGAGUGGCGAACGGGUGAGUAAUACAUCGGAACGUAUCCUGUAGCGGGGGAUAACCUCUCGAAAGAGAGGCUAAUACCGCAUACGACCCAAGGGUGAAAGAGGGGGAUCGCAAGACCUCUCACUAUUGGAGCGGCCGAUGUCAGAUUAGCUAGUUGGUGGGUAAAAGCCUACCGAAGGCGACGAUCUGUAGCUGGUCUGAGAGGACGACCAGCCACACUGGGACUG
rnacentral:rRNA from 1 species